rnacentral:rRNA from 1 species
ACGAACGCUGGUGGCACGCCUAACACAUGCAAGUCGAACGAAGUAGCAAUACUUAGUGGCAGACGGGUGAGUAACAUGUGGGUAUCUACCCUUUGGCCUGGAAUAACACGAGGAAACUUGUGCUAAUACCGGAUAAGUCUUUACAGAGAAAGCUUUAUGCACCAUUGGAUGAGCCUGCACUUGAUUAGUUGUUGGUAGGGUAAUGGCCUACCAAGACUAUGAUCAAUAGCUGAUUUGAGAGGAUGAUCAGCCACAUUGGGACUGAGACACGGACCAGACUCCUACGGGAGGCGGCAGUAGGGAAUCUUGC